CAAAACUAACAUCCUAGUAAAUUCUCAAGAACAUGCUCAAGAACAAUUUCUAAAACUAGGAGAAUUAGAGCAACAAAGGUAAGGAAUUGGUUAGUUACCUUAUGAGGAGUGAUUUCCUUGCAAGUUCCUUGAUCCAACAAGACAAUUCCUAGCUUGAAUGGGUGAGAAAUGAAAAAUCUAUGGUGAGGGUGAGUGAGAGAGAGAGGUGGGCGGUUUAUGAGAGGAAGAGGGAAGAGCUUUGCAAUUUUUUUUUCUAAGUUAAAAGUCCACCAAACAAUCCUAUGACAAAGUGAUCUUGCUCCAUCUUAGCCAUUGGAUCAAAAGACAAAACUCUAGGCCAAUCCUAGCCAUCCAUUUUACUUUAACAAAUAUCUAGAUAUUUUCUCUCACGCCCCACAGC
rnacentral:lncRNA from 1 species